rnacentral:tRNA from 1 species
GACAGCGUGUCCGAGUAGUUAAGGAGGUAGACUAGAAAUCCACAGGGCUCUGCCAGCGCAGGUUCGAAUCCUGCCGCUGUCG